AAGGCAUGGACACACCACCCAUGGGUGCUGCAAGGCAUGGACCCACCACCUAUGGGUGCUGCGAGGCAUGGAUCCACCAGCUAUGGGUGCUGCAUGGGAGAGACCCACCUCCUAUGGGUGCUCCAUGGGAGGGACCCGCCACCCAUGGGUGCUGUGAGGCAUGGACCCACCAGCUAUGGGUGUUGCAAGGCAUGGACCCACUCAUAUGGGUGCUCCAUGGGAUGGAGCCACCACCUAUGGGUGCUGCGAGGCAUGCACCCACCACCCAUGGGUGCUGCAAGCCAUCAACCUGCCACCCAUGGGUGUCUUAUGGGAUAGAUCCACUACCUGUGGGUGCUACAAGGCAUGGACCCACCAGCUAUGGGUGCUGCAAGUCAUGGAUGGACCAUCUAUGGGUGCUGCGAGGCAUGGACAGACCACCCAUGGGUGCUGCAAGCCAUCAACCUGCCACCCAUGGGUGUCUUAUGGGAUGGACCCACCGCCUAUGGGUGCUGCAUGGGGUGGAUCCACCAGCUAUGGGUGCUGCAAGUCAUGGACUGACCACCUCUGGGUGCUGCAUGGGGUGGAUCGACCACCUAUGGGUGCUGCAAGGCAUCAACCUGCCACCCACGGGUGCCUCAUGGGAUGGACCCACCACCCAUGGGUGCUGCAAGCCAUGAACCCACCACCUAUGGGUGCUGCAACACAUGGACCCACCACCCCUGGGUGCCUCAUGGGAUGGACUGACCACCCAUGGGUGCUGCAAGUCAUGGACCCAUCACCUAUGGGUGCUGCAAGCCAUGGACUGACCAUCUAGGGGUGCUGCAAGCCAUGGACCCACCACCCAUGGGUGCUGCAACCCAUGAACCCACUACCCACAAGUGCCUCAAGCCAUGGACUGACCACCCAUGGGUGCUGCAUGGGAUGGACCUGCCACCCAUGGGUGCUGCAAUGCAUGGACCCACCACCCCUGGGUGCCUCAUGGGAUGGACCAACCACCUAUGGGUGCUGCAAGGCAUGGACCGACCAUCUAGGGGUGCUACAACCCAUGGACCCGCCACCCACAAGUGCCUCAAGCCAUGGACUGACCAUCUAGGGGUGCUGCAUGGGAUGGACCCACCACCCAUGGGUGCUGCAAGCCAUGAACCCCCCACCCACGGGUGCUCCAUCACAUGGAUCCUUCCCAUGUGGGUGCUACGCCCAACGGACACCCAACCCAUGGACCCAUCAUCACCUGUGGGUGCUGCAUGG
rnacentral:lncRNA from 1 species